CACGUAGGGUGCGAGCGUUGUCCGGAAUUAUUGGGCGUAAAGAGCUCGUAGGCGGUGUGUCGCGUCGGCCGUGAAAACCUGCAGCUUAACUGUGGGCUUGCGGUCGAUACGGGCAUCACUGGAGUUCGGCAGGGGAGACUGGAAUUCCUGGUGUAGCAGUGAAAUGCGUAGAUAUCAGGAGGAAUACCGAUGGCGAAGGCAGGUCUCUGGGCUAGAACUGACGCUCAUGCACGAAAGCGUGGGGAGCAAACAGG
rnacentral:rRNA from 1 species